rnacentral:rRNA from 1 species
AUGACGAUCGUGGAGAUGCAGAUGAACAUCGACUGCGACGGCUGCGAGGACAACGUGAGGAAGGCCCUUCUCAGGCUUCAAGGCGUGCACUAUGUGGACGUGGACCGAGCGCGGGACAAGGUGACGGUGACGGGCACGGCGAGCCAGAAGAAGGUGCUGCGCGCGGCGCGGCGCACGGGGAAGCUCGCCGUGCUGUGGCCGUCGGCGUACGACCCGGGGUACCACCACGCCCACGCCUACGCUCACGCGCAGCCGGCCUACUACCACUCCUACCAGGCCAAGCCCGCCGCCGCCGCCCACGCGCACCGCUACUACAACAGCAUCCCGCACGGAGGGUACCCGGCGCCGGCGGCGCAGCACGGCAGCGCCAGCUCGUACAACUACCACGUCCAUGGCUACUACGACUCGGACCUCCACGGGUACCACCACGAGCAGUCCAACGACGCGCGGAGCUACUUCAGCGACGACAACCCCACCGCCUGCUCCGUCAUGUGA